rnacentral:rRNA from 1 species
GACGAACGCUGGCGGCGCGCUUAACACAUGCAAGUCGAACGGAAAGGCCAUGCGUUCGGGGGGCGCUUGAGUGGCGAGCGGGUGAGUAACACGAGAGUAACGUGACCGCGACUAAGGGAUAACUAAAAGAAACUGGGGCCAAUACGGGAAAGGAGCUACGGCUGGAGGGGGGGGGGUGGAAAGUUUGGGCGGUGGGGGUUGGACGGGCGUCCUAUCAGAUUGCUGGUGGGGUAGUGGCUUACCAAGGCAUUGACGGGGAGCCGGCCUGUCUGGGUGACCGGCCACAUUGGGGCUAACAUACGGCCCGUUCCCCUUCCGGCGGCAGCCGUGGGGAAUAUUGCACAAUGGGCGGAAGCCUGAUGCAUCAACCCCGCGUGCGUGAUGACUGCCUUCGGUUUGUAAGCCGCUUUCGUCUUUGACGAAGCGUUAGUGACUGUAAUGUGUAAAUAAGCACCGGCUAACUACGUG